UGCGGGGGGGGCAAGCGUUGUUCGGAAUUACUGGGCGUAAAGGGCUCGUAGGCGGCCAACUAAGUCAGACGUGAAAUCCCUAGGCUCAACCUAGGAACUGCGUCUGAUACUGGAUGGCUUGAAUCCGGGAGAGGGAUGCAGAAUUCCAGGUGUAGCGGUGAAAUGCGUAGAUAUCUGGAGGAAUACCGGUGGCGAAGGCGGCAUCCUGGACCGGCAUUGACGCUGAGGAGCGAAAGCCAGGGGAGCAAACGGG
rnacentral:rRNA from 1 species